GUUUUAAGAUAAAAGUUUAUGGUGGGUGUUUUAACUGGGGGUUUAUGGGGAUUAAAACA
rnacentral:tRNA from 1 species